GGCUUCAUUACAUAUCAGACAAAUUGGCUUGUCCUUAUAAAUAACAAACAAAUAUUCUUGAGUGCACUUCUCCUGGAAGGUGUGACGUUCUUGAACAACAUUUCUGUAUUUACUACCUGAAAGUCUGGACAUAUUUUAGGACCAGAAAUUUUUUCAAAUUUUUCAAAACAAUAAAAACUUAGUAAUUCAACUUCUGUACUUCUCCAACUGAUCUUAAUGCAAAUUGGUGGGAAUCACAGCUGCUUCUCCUCAUAUAGCAGGUGGCCUAAGCAUCUCGAAUAUUCCAGAAUUUACUGGAACCGUCUAAUUUCUAGGCAGUCGCCAUAUCUGCGUGACACGGUGGGCCAUAUUAAUAUGCAGCAGAGAAAUUUAAUGAUGGGCCGGACAAAUCUUGCUCGAGGGCCACAUGUGGCCCGCAGGCCAGGGGUUGCCUACCUCUAGUUUAAAAUAUUAAACAAAUGUUAGACUUAAAUAGC
rnacentral:lncRNA from 1 species